AGGCGGCUCAUUCUCGCCUGCUCAGCCGUAACGUGGCUGCAGCAGGGCUAGUAGUCCGCUACAUCAACACCAGCAUGAGACUCACCAGAAAUAUCAGCUGCUCUCUUUCUGGUCUCACCCUGCACCCGCUGGUUACAUUC
rnacentral:snoRNA from 1 species